CACAACACAUGAAAGCUUACGAGCAGUAUGGAACUUUCAAUGUCAUGACAAUAUUCUGGCGAGCGUGAUAAAUAUAAACUAUUGUUUAACCUUCAGGUUAAAUUUUUUAAUUAUUUUUAUUUCUAUUUAGUCGUUAACUGUCGUGUCUAAGUAUAAUAGUAAAGUGUCGAUAUAUCUUUAUGUCAAAUUAACUAAUUAAGCAAACAUGGGAGAACACUCUCCUUCGCAGAAUCUAAAAUUCAAAUAUGUUGUAGUGGUAACAUAGGACACAUAGGGAUAGUAAAGAAUUGUAAUGGUAACGUAGGGAUAGUAGAGGACAUUCAGUGGAUAUUGACUAACAAUUACGUAAUUUGUCUCCCACGUACUAGUCAGUACAAAUUGUAAGGCUCUAUCGGAGGAGAGUGUCAGGAGUGUUAUA